UGCACAGUAAUGAGCAACCCAUUUGGUUUGUGGAAGGUAGAGCGGAUGUAGGCUAGUGCAUGUGCAUUACAUGACGAUGAAAUUGAUUCCGCGCGUAGCUGCACACGCCUUGCUCAUGAGACUCUCACAUGGUCGGUGUAGUACUACACUUGAUCGCGGACAACCUGGGGCCCCUUCGCUAACAAUGGCAA